GACGAACGCUGGCGGCGUGCCUAACACAUGCAAGUCGAACGGAAAGGCCCUGCUUUUGUGGGGGGCUCGAGUGGCGAACGGGUGAGUAACACGUGAGUAACCUGCCCUUGACUUUGGGAUAACUUCAGGAAACUGGGGCUAAUACCGGAUAGGAGCUCCUGCUGCAUGGUGGGGGUUGGAAAGUUUCGGCGGUUGGGGAUGGACUCGCGGCUUAUCAGCUUGUUGGUGGGGUAGUGGCUUACCAAGGCUUUGACGGGUAGCCGGCCUGAGAGGGUGACCGGCCACGUUGGGACUGAGAGACGACCCAGACUCCUACGGGAGGCAGCGGUGGUGUAUAUUGCACGAUGGGCGGAAGCCUGAUGCAGGAACGCCGCGUGCGGGAUGACGGCAUUCGGUUUGUAAACCGCAUUAGCCUGUGACGAAGCGUGAGUGACGGUAACGGGUGAAGAAGCACCGGCUAACUACGUG
rnacentral:rRNA from 1 species